rnacentral:rRNA from 1 species
GACGAACGCUGGCGGCGUGCUUAACACAUGCAAGUCGAACGGAAAGGCCCUGCUUUUGUGGGGUGCUCGAGUGGCGAACGGGUGAGUAACACGUGAGUAACCUGCCCUUGACUUUGGGAUAACUUCAGGAAACUGGGGCUAAUACCGGAUAGGAGCUCCUGCUGCAUGGAGGGGGUGGGAAAGUUUCGGCGGUUGGGGAUGGACGCGCGGCUUAUCAGCUUGUUGGUGGGGUAGUGGCUGACCAAGGCUUUGACGGGUAGCCGGCCGGGGAGGGUGACCGGCCACAUUGGGACUGAGGUACGGCCCAGACUCCUACGGGAGGCAGCAGUGGGGAAUAUUGCCCAAUGGGCGGAAGCCUGAUGCAGCAACGCCGCGUGCGGGAUGACGGCCUUCGGGUUGUAAACCGCUUUCGCCUGUGACGAAGCGUGAGUGACGGUAAUGGGUAAAGAAGCACCGGCUAACUACGU